GACGCGCGGACUUCGCCGCGGCGCGCGGAAGGGGCGGUGCGCGCGCGCUCUGCGCAUGCUCGGUGACCGCCCGCCCCGUCAGGCUCGUCCGGCCGCGCGCGCGCUCCCGUGGGUCUGGAUCAGGCGCGCGUCAUGGCGGCCCCGGGCACCGCAGCGGGCUCUGUCCUGAAAGAUGUGGUGGCCUAUGUUGAAGUGUGGUCAUCCAAGGGGACAGAAAAUUACUCAAAGACAUUUACAAACCAGCUAUUAGACAUGGGAGCAAAGGUUUCAAAAACUUUUAACAAACAAGUAACUCACGUUGUUUUCAAAGACGGGUAUCAGAGCACAUGGGACAAAGCCCAGAAGAGAGGGGUGAAGCUUGUUUCUGUUCUCUGGGUGGAGAAAUGCAGGACAGCUGGAGCACACAUUGAUGAGUCAUUAUUCCCUGCAGCCAAUACCAGUGAGCACUUACCAAGUCUGAUUAAGAAAAAGCGCAAGUGUAUGCAGCCCAAAGAUUUUUUUCCCAAAACACCAGAUAAUGAUAAAAGACUUCAAAAGAAAUUUGACAAAAUGGCUCAAGAACUACAGAGGCAAAAAACCACUCUAGAUAAUGAUACGCCUGUUCUCUUAUUUGAAUCUAAUGGUAUGUUGACGUAUAGUCCCACAGUUAAAGUGUGUAGUCACCACAGCUCAAUGGAGAAGAGAUUGCAAGAGAUGAAGGAGAAAAGGGAAAACCUUUCCCCUACCUCUUCCCAAAUGAUUGAACAGUCUGGUGAUAAUACAAGUCACUCUGUGUGUGACACAUCACUAAACAUUACACGGGGUACUUUGUGUACAGAUGAAUCCUUUGAUCUUUGUGGAAACUCAGAAUGUAGAAAUCAGGAGACAAAAUUGAGAGAACCUACUAAUGAAAUUAAAAGUGAUGGAUGCAUUGCUUCACCAAUAUUGAAAACAAAUAGCAUUCAUUCACUAGCAUCCUCCACUUGCCUCAGUCAUACAAGUCCUCAGAAAUCUGUGGAAGAAAUAAAUUUGCAAGGAGACCCUGUAGGUGAAGUAGCUACCUCUAACAGAAAGCAAGCAGGAAGUGUAUCUAAAAAGAUGUGGUCUCCUACAUUAUCUACAACAAAAGACCACCCGCAUUCAAGACCCAAGAAUUUCUCAGCAAAAAGAAAAAGAAUGUCACCUCCAGAUGAAAGACCCAAGAAGAAAAAGUCCAGCAGGAGAUUAGUCUUGCCAAGGCUGCAGCUGUGUAAGUCGGAAACCAGCCCGCAGUUCAUGACCAGGCCUGCCGUUGAGGCUCUGGGCGGCCUGGAGUCCUCUUAUGAGGAUUACUUUUCUCCCGAUAACCUUAAGGAAAGGGAUUCAGAGAGGCUUCCUUCUGAGUCUCCGAUGCCAUCAGGUCCUGCUCUGUUCCACUGCAGAAGUCUUUCUAAGAGGGAGAGAACAAACAUCUUAGGAAUGUCUGACUUCUCCUGCAUUGGUGAAGAACCCAGAUCAACUGACUUUCCCAAUUUAACAGCAAAACUUAGCUUCAGUCCUCAGAAACAUGCAAAUGGUGAAGGAAGUGCUUCCAAGAAGACAGCUGCUCCUGCAGAACGCCCUGAGAGUCCCCGCCAGGCUGUCCUCCAGCAGGGAGGGGACUCUGAAUGCCCACACAGGGACAGCUCCUCUCAUCUCGAGGACCCUGCACGUCCCGUGGGACUUGGUAGUGACUUAACCGCUUUGAAGGGAGGCGGUGAAGAAAGGAGAGAACUGACUGACCUGAAAAGCAUGGAAAAAGAAGAUGCUAGUUCCAAAAUGUCGAACUCCUCUGUUGGUGACAUGCAAACUGAUGAUAAACUAAAUUUUGUAGAUGCUUGUAAUGUGGAGAAAUCAACAGAGGAAAAAGAAAACAUACCCAGAGGAUAUAGCAAAAGUGUUGAAAAUGGACCAAGAAGACAUGAUAAUUUAGGUCACACAUCAUGCGAAGGCUCUAAGCACCUCAUUAAACAUCAGGAGGAGUCGAAGACAAGUGGGAAAGGCAAGAAGCCAACAAGAACAUUAGUCAUGACAAGCAUGCCAUCUGAGAAGCAGAAUGUCAUCAUCCAAGUCGUGAGUAAGCUGAAAGGCUUUGCGUUGGCAGCGGAGGUCUGUGACACCACCACCCACGUGCUGGCCGGGAGGCCCGCGCGCACCCUCAACGUGCUACUGGGCCUUGCGCGUGGCUGCUGGGUGCUCUCCUAUGAAUGGGUACUAUGGUCUUUGGAAUUGGGUCACUGGAUUUCCGAAGAGCCGUUUGAACUGUCUAACUACUUCCCUGCAGCUCCUUUUGUAGAGAGACAUGAACCAACACCUGUUCUGUGCCGGAAGGGGACCACCUAGGGAGGGACACCUGAUGGCUUCUCUUGUCUCACAUCCCCUCCUGCAUGGUGUGGAACAUUUCUUGUCAGCAUAGAAUCUUAAAGACCAAAGAGAACUUGGCAGUCAGUGGUCUGGCCCAGCCUUUGCUUCUAUAGUUCCGACCACUGAGGUUUGGACAAGUCCAACAAGAACGUUCUGGAACCACAUGCGCUGUGCUCUGUGGAUGAUUGUCGUUUGGCACUACUGAGAGGAGAGACUUGACUGGGAACUGCAAAUGGUGAUUAUGACUUUGGGCAAAUCAUUGAGCUUCUAAUUAUGUCUUCCAAGGCCUCCUGACCCGAAAUGAGAGAGUAUCUUACCGCAAAAUACAUGUUGUGUCGAACUUCUCAUUACAGAAUACAGUUCUGGGGAUGAUGAUGUUUCUGACUCGUUUUUAGAAGCAGUUUGUCAGGUUUCUGUUUCGGGGCAUGUCAGUCACAUUGGUGUUGGGGCCAGUGGCUGAGUAGUAAGGCAGAUGCAAGAUUUGGCCCUAAAAUGACAGUGUCACUGCUCCACGUGGAAUUUUAUUUCAUGAAGUUGUACUCUAAGAAGGAAUUCCUUUACAUAAAGGUGUGGAUGUGGCACCUGGAGUUACACUGCACCUCAGAAGACCUUUCUUAGAACAUCUGUGAAACUGUCCCAGUCAUGGGGCCCGUUUUGUCACCUAUCAUGUGACUCAAACGUUACCUGCUAAAUAGUUUCUUUUGGGAAAAACUCUUCACUGUCCUUUUCCCACUGUAAGAUCUUUACUUUGACUUGUAAAUGUUGGGCCAUAUUAGAACUCAACCUUUAACAAUAACGUAAGUGUUGUUAAAAUUAAAUUCUGUCUGAGACAUCAUGUUGUGCCAAAGAACCACACACCAAAGAGUAGUUACUUUAUGCUCUGUUCGCAUGAACUUCAAGGGUACAGCAAAUGAUUCAGUAGUGAUAGAAAUCAGAAUGACAGCUUUUGGGUGAGAGGAGUUCAAGAGGGGUUUCACAAGGGAAAGAUGUACAAAAAUUAAAUGUUGGACAAAUUUUGCUAUGACACUGAGGCCCUAAUUACUGUGGACUGUUCUAAAUAUCUCUGCCUACAGCUUUCAUCUGGGCCUAUCCAGACAAAGCCUAAACAAAUGAACUCAGAGAAGGUAACUCUAAAGGGAUGGCAGAGAACUGUGGUUAAACCAUACCAGCUGCUCAAAGAGGGUUAAAAGUGUACAGUUAGGUAAAUUAGUAAUUUAACAUUCCGAAACAUGAUUCUUUCCGGAUCAAGCAUAAAAGGCAUUUGCUCUUGGAAAACCAAGAAAGAAUUCAUGCAGUUCCCAUUAGUCUAAAAAUAAAUAAUAAAUAAAUAAAUGUCUGAGUCAUGUAUUGCACUUUGUUGGAUUCAGUGGCUUCAAGUGUAGGAAGACAGUCAUUUAAGCUAUGAAAAUGUUCUACCCAUCACCGCCUUGAAUGAACACAAAAUCACUCUGUGAGCAACAUCAGAUAGAUUAAUUGAUUGGAUUUCAUGCCGAGUUUCUUCAAGGCAAAUGUUUCUGACUUGAGCAACAAUACAGAAGCUAGAGAGAAUAGCUUUAUUCAUGUUGAAUUGAAUUGGGAAAGAAGUUAUAUUGCUGAGUUUCGAAGCUGUUGAGUUAUUAUAGCACUGGUUUGAGAAUUAGACACAUCUGGGUGUGAAUUCAUCUCCGCUGCACACAGUUCCCAGCUUAAAAUCUUUUAACUUUGCACUUGUUGAUGAAACAGAUAUAUAAAUGCUUACUGUGCCAUGUUAGUGUGAAAAUUUAAAUCGAACAAAUUAGCACAGUUCCCAGACUGAGCCAAGGCACCCUUGAUCCUUGCAGCAAACUGAUAGGAGCACUGGGAGACAGUUCAAACGUUCAUGGGAAACCUAAUGAUGCUCAGUAUCCAUCAGCUAGAUACAUAGCUCCAAGUAACUUGCAGUUUCAAAACUAAUAGAUUGUGCCUCUGUGCAAAGCCGGGUGUUUGUUGGUUGCUGUUAAUAAAAAGCAAGUACAGCAGGAAUGUCAGCAUCAGGUAGUAAUGAGAAUUGGGUCUGAUUUCACAGUGUGAGGGGCUGGGCGUACUAGGCAAAUCUAUUCCAUUUUGAAGUCACUGAAAUUGCUUAAGAAAAAAGUAGUUGUUUUCUUUCAAUUCAUGUGUAUUUGUGUUUCCAAAUGGCUACUAGUUGGACACAAGUACUAAGUUGUUUGACCCUAUGUGCUUAAUAAAUGUAACCGUUAGGUAUUUCUUCUGGUCUGCAUGUAAUGUGAAAAAAUACUUCAUCAGACACCAAGAGUGCUGUGAGCUGAGACAGUCUGACAUCUUAUAUAGAACCUUGCAUUUGAUAAGACCUAAGCUUAGUCAACCCUGUCCCCUCCCAUGCCUCAUCUAGACACUAUCUUUAAUUGUUCUCUUUGCUUUAAUAUGUUUAUUGAAAAACUAGUAAAUUGAAAAGAACGAGCACAUUUCAUAAGGCCUUCAUUAAGAUACACUCUGAUAUUUUCCUAACUUCUGUAUCCAUUAAGAAAAACAACCAUGUUCCUUUUAAGCAAAUUGGUCAGCACUGUGUCGCCUUUGAGACGAAUGACUUUUACUAGCAUGGGACUGCCAAUAGCUUCUUCCCAGAGCAGCCUGCAGCGUCCUGUGGGACGGCGAGGCUGCUGCGGGCUGGUGUGACUUGGGCAGCAUCACGGAGGUGCGGAGCGUGUGCCAGGUUUAUAAACGCAGUGUGGCCCGUGUCUGCCUGGGAUUUGUGCUUCGCAUGCUUACCAUUCUCACAUGUUCGGUUUUACAAUAUUAAGUUAUACAGAAGAGCCAAAUGCGCUUGAAUUCCCCAGCAAUUUGGAAAGUCAGUUUUCAGUGUGAUUCUCCAAAUGCUUGUGGUGAAAGUACAAGGGACCCGAAUCAUUUUCCCAUAAUUAGUUUCAGUUCUGGAGCCUGCACGACGGCUCCAGCGGAAGCUAGUGGAAAAUUCCUGUCCCCUUCCGUGGCGCGGCCAUGAGUGGUGAAAGCAUUGCCAUUCAGAACUGACUUUUCCUUCUGCCUGCUGGGAUUUUCACUCAAAGAGAGGAGGACCAGCAUUUCACGUGAUAGUUCCCUACUUAUUGAUGCGGCGGCCGGCCCCUGCUGCUCCGUCCAUGGGGUCAGAUUUCCACAUCUGAGAGUGUGUUCUGAGUGCACCCGUCUUCUCAUAGAGCCACAGCGAUCCCAGUGCACACAAGUCCCUGGAGACACCCACCCCAGCUGACUCACUAGGUGGGAACCAGGGACCAGGGCGCACUGGAAAAAGGAGCAGUGGCAGAGGGGUGCCUAUUGUUAGGUGGGUUUGUUUGUUUCUAUCAAAACAUGAGUCAUCUCACCCCCCACCCUGGGUGUUUAACUUAACCAGAGCUCACUGUGGUUUCGUCUGUAAUUUGGUCUUGACUCCUACAGGCCAGUUUAGUUUUAUCAGCGGUGGCAAAUUCUUGAAAGCUUCCUUCAGUUGUAGAAAUUGAGUUUCAAAUGGAAGUGGCCCAAGUGCCAGCUAAAACUUUGUGGCUGAGUGUCUUCAUCAAACCCACCCAGCGUCAAGACCCACACUGGAGUUUUGGCUGCUUGAUGGGACUCAAAUUAUGAGUAGUUGGUUCCUCUGGAAUCUUGGCCCCAUCCUGGGGUGGCUUUAGGAAUCCAAAGUUAGCACAUAAGUGAAGGUUUUGACCCACACGCCUUUCCUGCCUCCCAGCCUUUUCCCUGCAGUGUGUGCACCUAGCAGCCUCUCUGGCUCUCAGAACCUCUCACAUCAGCCGUGCUCUGCACCAGCAGCUCUGCUCAGGCUGUGGCACCCAUGUGGUGUGUUCCCGUGCUCCUGGUAGCUGAUGAAAAGGCAAGAUGCGGGGGGUCAUUUGGCACAGAGUUAAAGAUGCUGCUUGGGAUGCCCAUAUCCCAUAUUGGAGCGCCUGGUUUUGAGUCAGGGGGCCAUUUCCCAUUCCAGUUUUCUGUAAAUGCAUAUCCUGGGUGGCAGCAGGUCAUGGCUCCAGUAGUUGCGUUUCUGCCACAUAUGUCAGAGAUGCAAACUGAAUGCCCAGCCUUCAAGUGUUGCAAGUGUUUGGAGGGGUGAACCAGUAGAUGUGUGUGUGUGUGUGUGUGUGUGUGCGUGCGUGUGUGCUUUCUGUCUUUCAAAUAAAUAAGUAAAUGCAUUUUUCUUUACGAAGAUGAAAAACAUGCAUAAAAAAGAUGCAAGAUCAGACCGGCUGACUUUGAGAUGUAGCAAGAAUACUCAGUGGAUUUUCAGUGACAACCCUGGGUCAUAUACUUGAAACAUGAUUCCAUUUAGGAAGGUUUGCAAAGAAAGAAAGAAAAAUCUUGGUGCUCAAGAAGCAAGUUCUAAUCUGGAAAAUGUGUGUGUAGCAAGCAUCUCUAAGAAAGAAAUGAACAUUUUGUUGGGGGUUGGGGUGGAUGGUGUGAAAGACCAGAGGAAGCGGCGAAUGGACACUUGGACCUUUUCUUUUGUUCUUUAAUGUUGGUGCACUUGGUCUCUCCUUAGCCAUCUGUUGUACUUAUUUCAGUUUCUCCUUGUUAACAUCUGAUUGUAACCUCGGGGACAUUUAUUAUGUUUCAGCAGUACUUAAAGUUACUGAAAUGACCUAUUCCUCCAAAAUUCUUUCUGGGCACCUGUGGAAUAAACACUAAGACUGCUCCUCAACAUAUUUUCUAGAGAAUGGAUUUCAUUAGAAGGUGGACUAGGCUUGGAACCCAUUCAAGGCAGCUUGAAGCCAGCCACCCCAACAGCACAAAUUCCAAAGGUAUCAGUACAAAAACAAUGCAUGUGCUUCCCUAUUAAGAAGUGUCAGUGUUGAUUUCCAAAACGAACAGAAAUGUCUGUAAAUCUCAUGGGUUUGUAAAUUCUGUUAUACAGUGAAACACUGCACAGGAAUGGGAAAGAGCCAUAGAGGUAAUAAAACAGACCAAAAAAUGUGCAUUGUGUUGUUCCAAUUAUGUGAAAUUCAGCACUUAGCAAAGUUCACCUAUGGUGAGUGAUGGAGGGCAGCACAGGGGCUGGCACUGGAAAGAGUCGGUGUGUUGCAGGAGUGUGCAUACGUAGCAAUUUUUCCAGCUAUACACUUGGGGGUGUGUACACUUUCCAUAGUUUAUGACUCAAGAAGAGGAUGCUGGGUUCUGUAAACCAGAUGCAGAACAGCUGAGAGUGUGCAGCUCAGCUGAGCACUGGUCUACAUGGAAGAAAGGCCUGGGUGGACUUUGUCCAGGCACCUGUGGAGCAGGGAUCCUGUAUGAAGGAACGCAGCAAGAGCCCGCCCGAGGCUGCUUUAGCCCACCCCUUCUUCCUCCAGUGUGGUCUUCAACGGUGCUGCCUUUCGAUGUUGCCGACUCAUUUGCUUACUGGUGGCCAUUCCCUUCUCUGAAAACACAACUGGUUAUGUGCUGUCCUCCCCAGACUUUGCUGGCUGUGGUGCCUGAGCGUCUUGGGGUGGCAGAGGGCGACAGGGGCUGUGCGUGCGUCUCUGGAGCCGCAGGCAGGUCAGCGUGAGAGGGACAAAGUUGCAUUCAGGGGAGGCCCAGCCCUGCAGGUCACACCACAUCUUGCGGGAUGGACACGGUAAUAGCUGUGAGAUGGGUCCCGUCUCCCUGUAUCGGUUCUUACUCCUGUGAGCCCUGUGCAGUGUCACCAUGGCAGGGGCUGGGGAAAUCGUGUGGAUUUUUUUUUUUUUUUAAAUCUAAAUCUUGAGAAUCUUUCAUUGUAAGAAACUCUGAAGGGAAGAAGCUUUAUGGUAGUUUUGCCAGUCGUGUAUGUCCUGGUGCCUCUCUCUGCUCAAGCCCCUUCCACUCCAAAGGAAGAAGGGAGAGUUGCAGAAUUCACCAAGACAAAGCGGCCACAACAUGUGCACCUGGCAAAUGCCAGCGGCUCCACACCACCACAGUGGUGAGCUGCAGCGCUGCCACCAGCAGCCCUCUGCAGUAACUACUGCCUGCAAGAAGUGUGAGAGGGGCCUCUCUCCCUGUGACCUCUCAUGACUGCCAGCAGAAGGGGCAGUCUCUUCUCUGCAAGAACCGCCCUACACUUUGCAAACAGGUGAGGCAUGCUGGCUUCCCAGAAAGGAGCUCCAAGCCCCUGGUUUCUGAGGAGGUCGGCGAGUGCAGGUCAGAGGUCUGCUUGCCCCGUUACUGUCCGUGGCUACUGGGCCUGGACUCUGGGCCGACCUUCACCGCUGAAGGUGUGUCAGUCACUUAAAGCUGAAAUGACGGAGAGGUCCCAGUUAAGUAGCAGGAGGUGCUUAUCCAUCCGUUUUCCCUCCUCUCUUUUUCUUCUCUGUCCUGAGUCUGUGCACCCUAACGGUGGUGCUGUUUGGGGUGAGGAAGAGGAAGGAAGGUGGCACAGCACCUGUCAACCCCAAACAGUACAGCUGUGAAACCUGUGUGGCAUGGAGCAUGCUGGUCACACAGCAGCAAAUAAAGUAUCCACAUUAAAACCACACGUGAAUUCAUGAUGUUAUUAGUCAGGCGGCAGCCAUAUAUGAAGUUACAGACCAUGAAUUGCACAUCUCCCUCGACCAAUUGCUACUUGAGCACUAAUCUGGACUUGUUAAGCUUCAAUUUUAUCCCAACCAUCACUGCUUUUCAGAAUAUUUCACUGUUACGGUUAAGUUAAAGACAACUCUGGUCAGGGAUUCUUGUUAACCUUUAUUACAUUAAAGACAGAUAAAUCUUAAAAAAAAAAAUAAUAAUAGAUGACUUUUCAGUGUGGGAGGAAACUGUUGAAAUCUUUACUUAAUGUAUGCUAAACUGAUCUUCUGUAUAUAAAGAGAAUUGAAAAUGAAUCCUCAUGUGAAUGGAAGGGGAGAGGGAAUGGGAAAGGGGAGGGUUGCAGGUGGGAGGGACGUUAUGGGGGGGAAGCCAUUGUAAUCCAUAAGCCGUACUUUGGAAAUUUAUAUUCAUUAAAUAAAAGUUAAAAAAAAUUAAAAAAAAAACAGAAAUUGAAGGAUCUAUUCCUUACUAGUUAAAAAUGAUAAGGAAUUUCACAGGCAUGUCCCAAAUAUUAAACAUAGACAAUUAGCUUAUGGUUGAAAUUUGAUAGUUUUAUGUUACUCAGCAAAAUAUUAUACUCUCUGUAGCUACAUUUUUGCACCAAAAUUUCCCAUUAAGAAGACCAGUUUGUUGGAGAAAUUUUUAAACAACAUCUGUACAUAAUAAAUUUUCAAGAUUCCAAAGUGUAAUGACAUUCAAAGUAAUACUUCAAUUAUCUUCAGUCUAAUGUUUACAGUUAUCCGGUAGAUAACAAAGAAUUGAUAUUAUCUGUUAAUUCCAGAAAUCUAAUGGCAGAGAAAAUUCCUUCUGGAACCCAAAAGAAAUAGUACCUCUUAGGAAUUCUGAGUCUUUUCCUACCCAAGACAUGCAGACUGACUGGCUAACCCCGAUGUGCCCGCUCAGAAGGCCGUUCGGGGAGACCCUUUAAAUAUUCUUUUAGUUUGUCUUCUAUAAAAGAACUCACAGGAGAUGUGUUUCUGCAGAGAGGCAGUAAAGGACUGGACACGGUGGCCCGACCCUUUUUGCUUUUUGCCUCUUUCACCAUUGCAGGCCCUUGCGGCCCUGCACCUUCAGAGUGCGAGGCCUUUGGGCCACCUGCCCCGUGCUUUCUGGCCUGCAAGCUCCUCCCCUGUGGCUGGCUCCCGGCGCUCGGUAUGAAUCCAGAUUCCCCUUUCCUUUUUAGGUAGGGCCCUCACUCUCCUAUG